rnacentral:rRNA from 1 species
GACGUGAUAGACUAGUGUUAUUCAUCUUUAAUAGGUUUAAAGGGUACGUAGACUGUAGUUCUAGCCAAUAAAAAGGAACAGAACUUCUAGAGUUUUUAUGUGAGAAGGGGAGUAUUUUAGGGUGUAUGAGAUGAAAAUUCUGUCAUACCUUUAGGACUGGAUAAAGGCGAAGGCAACCUUCUAAGUAAAAACUGACGUUGAGGGACGAAGGCAUUGAUCACAAACAGG